rnacentral:rRNA from 1 species
GGUUUGAUCAUGGCUCAGGACGAACGCUGGCGGCGUGCCUAAUACAUGCAAGUCGAGCGGACUGAUUCGGAGCUUGCUUCGAGGAUGUCAGCGGCGGACGGGUGAGUAACACGUGGGUAACCUGCCUGGCAGACUGGGAUAACGCUUGGAAACGAGUGCUAAUACCGGAUGAUCUCUUGGACUGCAUGGUUCGAGAGUAAAAGGAGCUUUUGCUUCACUGCCAGAUGGACCCGCGGCGCAUUAGCUAGUUGGUGAGGUAACGGCUCACCAAGGCGACGAUGCGUAGCCGACCUGAGAGGGUGACCGGCCACACUGGGACUGAGACACGGCCCAGACUCCUACGGGAGGCAGCAGUAGGGAAUCUUCCGCAAUGGGCGCAAGCCUGACGGAGCAACGCCGCGUGAGUGAUGAAGGCCUUCGGGUUGUAAAACUCUGUCUUCUGUGACGAACCAUCCUGUGCAGGGAAAGCUCAGGACCUGACGGUAACAGAGGAGGAAGCCCCGGCUAACUACGUGCCAGCAGCCGCGGUAAUAA